UGUGCGCUGUGCCGACUGCUGCUGUGGGACGCCCGGCAGCACCGCGCGCCUCCUGCGAGGAUGUCAGGGCUUCAAACGAGGGUUUGUCGUCCGUAAAUAGAUCGCCUUCAGUGCCCGCUGAAUGCUGAGCGCUGUGACGAGAAGUGCCGAGUUUGUGCUGGAAGGCCAAAUAUUACAGCUGUGAGUUUAUGCAGGUCUGUGUCCCAUUGAAGGCAUGGAGCAGCCCGUGAGACUUCAGGCCCCGACACAGCGAGUGCGAGCAGGAGACGGAAUGGUAGGGGGAUGUAACGGAAUGAACUGCAAACACAUUUUCUGUGAAACCAUUCUAGCCGUACUGAGCUUGGCUGAAGGCUCCCACAGCCUCAGCACAGAAUGGAUUGGCCCUAAUUCUGUCCUGCAGAACUAGUGAUUGAGUAUCCCUAACGAAAGGGCUGGAAGAUCUGCAGAUCCCAUCUUGAGCUGUGAACUCCUCAGGCUGGAGGAGAUGGAUAUCCACAUCUGGAAGUGGCAGUAGCACAUCUGGACAGGGUCAUGGAGACUCGGCAAUUCCUGGGGGCUGUCAAACUGAUUACACGCAGCAAACCAGCCGGUGUGCCUCUGCCUGCUGCUUAGAGUAAGCACUGAUAUGUCAGUCAGACUUUACUAUCAAGUACGAGCUUAUGUGCGCUUCAAGUGUUGUUCAGCCUUCAACUCCUUGGUGUAUUCAGUCAUUUAAAAACUUUCAUACACU
rnacentral:lncRNA from 7 species